AACUGCCCCCAUGAUUCAAUUAUCUCCACCUGGUCCCUCCCAGGACACAUGGGGAUUAUGGGAACUACAAGUCAAGAUGAGAUUUGGGUGGAGACACAGCCAAACGAUAUCAUGGACUCUUCCACCGCCCUUGAGUGGGGAACAUCCAGGCCUUCACACUCACGCUCAGCCCAUCACCCCUUUGUGCAAGGUGCAAGGUCCUCUGCCCAGCUGAAGCCUCAAGGCCUGAUGGAAACCAUCCCCAGCCACUCUAGUACCUUUGACCGGAGCGUGACCCUGCUGGAGGUGUGCGGGAGCUGGCCUGAGGGCUUCGGGCUGCGGCACAUGUCCUCCAUGGAGCACACGGAGGAGGGCCUCCGGGAGCGACUUGCCGACGCCAUGGCCGAGUCACCCAGCCGGGACGUCGUGGGAUCCGGAACAGACACAGCCCUUGACGUAGCAGUAAAAACCUUCCCCCCUGAGAGACACGUGGCUGUGAAGUGUUUUGGGAAAAAAAAAGGAAAAAAAAAACAAUGCCAACAGCCCAGCGUCCGUGAGCAACCCAACAGUAACAAAGCAUGCGUUCGGGAUGGAGGAAGAACUUCAGCGAGAGGGAAGCAUCGAGACUCUGAGUAACAGCUCAGGCUCCACCAGCGGCAGCAUACCAAGAAACUUUGAUGGCUACCGAUCUCCGCUGCCCACCAAUGAGAGCCAGCCCCUCAGCCUCUUCCCGACUGGCUUCCCGUAGGUACCAGCAACCCGCUUCUGACUGGCCAGCCCCCUCCCCUGCUGGAGGAGGGGAGAAGCCCCGCUCUGGUCCUACCCUUCAGUCUCUGCUCUUCCUUCAUCAACCACCUUCCCCAAGCUUAGUGACAGCAGCCGCCCGUCCUACCUGG
rnacentral:sRNA from 1 species